AACGAACGCUGGCGGCAUGCUUUACACAUGCAAGUCGAACGGUAACAGGGAGCUUGCUCCGCUGACGAGUGGCGAACGGGUGAGUAAUGCGUCGGAACGUGCCGAGUAGUGGGGGAUAACGCAGCGAAAGUUGUGCUAAUACCGCAUACGUACUGAGGUAGAAAGUGGGGGACCUUCGGGCCUCACGCUAUUCGAGCGGCCGACGUCUGAUUAGCUAGUAGGUGAGGUAAAGGCUCACCUAGGCGACGAUCAGUAGCGGGUCUGAGAGGAUGAUCCGCCACACUGGGACUGAGACACGGCCCAGACUCCUACGGGAGGCAGCAGUGGGGAAUUUUGGACAAUGGGCGAAAGCCUGAUUCAGCCAUGCCGCGUGUCUGAAGAAGGCCUUCGGGUUGUAAAGGACUUUUGUCGGGGAGGAAAUCCCCAGCGCUAAUACCGCUGGGGGAUGACAGUACCUGAAGAAUAAGCACCGGCUAACUACGUGCCAGCCGCCGCGGUAAUAC
rnacentral:rRNA from 1 species